rnacentral:rRNA from 1 species
UGCAUCGAUGAAGAACGCAGCGAAAUGCGAUACGUAGUGUGAAUUGCAGAAUUCCGCGAAUCAUCGAGUCUUUGAACGCAAGUUGCGCCCGAGGCUUGUCCGAGGGCAUUUCCGCUAGAGCGUCACCGCGCCCCCCACCAACCCACUCCCGUGUGAAAUCGGGAGUCGGGUCGAGUGAAAGUGGUCGUCCCGGCGUCGGGGUACCCAAACCCUGACCAAGGGUCGGCUGAAAUGGAAGGAAUCGGGCCGCCGUGGUGACACAGUCCGCGAUCGGGUGAUCCGCGCUCCCGACUUCGGGAGCCCGGUAUUUUUCUAAGUGCGUGGCUGCGUCCCCAGUUGGUUCCGGUUACCUCGUGCAGGUCGAGCGCGCCACCCCCUCCCACAUGGGUCGGGGCGGCGCGCGUCACGUUACGCAUCAGACCUCUAAUCGGAAAAGACUACCCGCUGAGUUUAAGCAUAUCAAUAAGCGGAGGA